rnacentral:rRNA from 1 species
AUACGUAGGUGGCAAGCGUUGUCCGGAAUUAUUGGGCGUAAAGCGCAUGUAGGCGGUAAUUUAAGUCUGUCGUGAAACUGCGGGGCUCAGCCCCGUAUGGCGAUGGAAACUGGGUUACUUGAGUGCAGGAGAGGAAAGGGGAACUCCCAGUGUAGCGGUGAAAUGCGUAGAUAUUGGGAAGAACACCGGUGGCGAAGGCGCCUUUUUGGACUGUGUCUGACGCUGAGAUUCGAAAGCCAGGGUAGCGAACGGGAUUAGAUACCCCGGUAGGCCUGGCCGUAAACGAUGGGUACUAGGUGUGGGAGGUAUCGACCCCUUCCGUGCCGGAGUUAACGCAAUAAGUACCCCGCCUGGGGAGUACGGCCGCAAGGCUUAAACUCAAAUGAAUUGACGGGG